rnacentral:misc_RNA from 1 species
CCAGGUGCCGGCUCCGGUUUCGACCGUCGAGAGGCAUUCUAAACCCUCUGUGAACCAAAAAACCCUUCGCUUCGGCAGCCGCCGGUUCGGAAACGACCCGGCUUCAGCCUGCCGCUAGCACCGAUAAUCAAAACUUGCAGUCGAAAACAUUGUCUGAAGACCAAAUUUUCGAAUGAAAAUCA